rnacentral:rRNA from 1 species
UCGACGAUGAAUCUUCUAGCUUGCUAGAAGUGGAUUAGUGGCGCACGGGUGAGUAAUGCAUAGGUUAUGUGCCCUUUAGUCUGGGAUAGCCACUGGAAACGGUGAUUAAUACUGGAUACUCCCUACGGGGGAAAGUUUUUCGCUAAAGGAUCAGCCUAUGUCCUAUCAGCUUGUUGGUGAGGUAAUGGCUCACCAAGGCUAUGACGGGUAUCCGGCCUGAGAGGGUGAUCGGACACACUGGAACUGAGACACGGUCCAGACUCCUACGGGAGGCAGCAGUAGGGAAUAUUGCUCAAUGGGGGAAACCCUGAAGCAGCAACGCCGCGUGGAGGAUGAAGGUUUUAGGAUUGUAAACUCCUUUUGUUAGAGAAGAUUAUGACGGUAUCUAACGAAUAAGCACCGGCUAACUCCGUGCCAGCAGCCGCGGUAAUACGGAGGGUGCAAGCGUUACUCGGAAUCACUGGGCGUAAAGAGUGCGUAGGCGGGGUAAUAAGUCAGAUGUGAAAUCCUGUAGCUUAACUACAGAACUGCAUUUGAAACUGUUAUUCUGGAGUGUGGGAGAGGUAGGUGGAAUUCUUGGUGUAGGGGUAAAAUCCGUAGAGAUCAAGAGGAAUACUCAUUGCGAAGGCGACCUGCUGGAACAUUACUGACGCUGAUGCACGAAAGCGUGGGGAGCAAACAGGAUUAGAUACCCUGGUAGUCCACGCCCUAAACGAUGGAUGCUAGUUGUUGCCUUGCUUGUCAGGGCAGUAAUGCAGCUAACGCAUUAAGCAUCCCGCCUGGGGAGUACGGUCGCAAGAUUAAAACUCAAAGGAAUAGACGGGGACCCGCACAAGCGGUGGAGCAUGUGGUUUAA